UACGUAGGGCGCAAGCGUUGUCCGGAAUUAUUGGGCGUAAAGAGCUCGUAGGUGGCGUGUCGCGUCUGCCGUGAAAGCCCAUGGCUUAACUGUGGGUCUGCGGUGGAUACGGGCAGGCUGGAGGCUGGUAGGGGAGACGUGGAAGUUCCUGGUGUAGCGGUGAAAUGCGUAGAUAUCAGGAGGAAUAGCCGGUGGCGAAAGCGACUCUCUGGACAACACCGUGACACUGAGGCACGAAAGCUAGGGAGCAAACAGG
rnacentral:rRNA from 1 species